rnacentral:rRNA from 1 species
ACUCCUACGGGAGGCAGCAGUGGGGAAUAUUGCGCAAUGGGCGGAAGCCUGACGCAGCGACGCCGCGUGGGGGAUGACGGCCUUCGGGUUGUAAACCUCUUUCGGCCUUGACGAAGCUCUUCGGGGUGACGGUAGGGGUAGAAGAAGCACCGGCCAACUACGUGCCAGCAGCCGCGGUAAUACGUAGGGUGCGAGCGUUGUCCGGAAUUAUUGGGCGUAAAGAGCUCGUAGGCGGUCUGUCGCGUCGGUCGUGAAAACUUGGGGCUUAACCCUGAGCUUGCGGUCGAUACGGGCAUGACUGGAGUUCGGCAGGGGAGACUGGAAUUCCUGGUGUAGCGGUGAAAUGCGCAGAUAUCAGGAGGAACACCGGUGGCGAAGGCGGGUCUCUGGGCCGAUACUGACGCUGAGGAGCGAAAGCGUGGGGAGCGAACAGGAUUAGAUACCCUGGUAGUCCACGCCGUAAACGGUGGGCGCUAGGUGUGGGGGCCAUUCCACGGUCUCUGUGCCGCAGCUAACGCAUUAAGCGCCCCGCCUGGGGAGUACGGCCGCAAGGCUAAAACUCAAAGGAAUUGACGGGGGCCCGCACAAGCGGCGGAGCAUGUGGAUUAAUUCGAUGCAACGCGAAGAACCUUACCUGGGUUUGACAUGCACCAGACGCAGUCAGA